rfam:Triticum aestivum genome assembly, contig: Triticum_aestivum_CS42_TGACv1_scaffold_560124_7AL
AUUGUACUCCCGCCGUCCGGAAAUACUUGUCAGUGAAAUUGAUGUAUCUAGACGUAUUUUAGCUUUAGAUACAUCCAUUUUUAUCCAUUUAUGCGACAAGUAUUUCUGGACGGAGAGAGUAGUUG